rfam:Ixodes scapularis strain Wikel colony gcontig_1108378834058, whole genome shotgun sequence.
GCAGUCGUGACCGAGUGGUUAAGGCGAUGGACUAGAAAUCGAUUGGGGUCUCCCCGCAUGGGUUUGAAUCCUGUCGACUGCG